rnacentral:sRNA from 1 species
UUGGAUGCAGCGCAGGACGCGCUCAAAGAAAUCAAGGAUGAUUGACCGUCGCCAGGAAGGCAGCUCGACAGGACGUUGAGCAUGGUCAACAAGAACCCGCUUCGGCGGGUUUUU